rnacentral:rRNA from 1 species
GACGAACGCUGGCGGCGUGCUUAACACAUGCAAGUCGAACGGAAAGGCCCUGCUUUUGUGGGGGGCUCGAGUGGCGAACGGGUGAGUAACACGUGAGUAACCUGCCCUUGACUUUGGGAUAACUUCAGGAAACUGGGGCUAAUACCGGAUAGGAGCUCCUGCUGCAUGGUGGGGGUUGGAAAGUUUCGGCGGUUGGGGAUGGACUCGCGGCUUAUCAGCUUGUUGGUGGGGUAGUGGCUUACCAAGGCUUUGACGGGUAGCCGGCCUGAGAGGGUGACCGGCCACAUUGGGACUGAGAAGCGGCCCAGACUCCUACGGGAGGCAGCAGUGGGGAAUAUUGCACAAUGGGCGGAAGCCUGAUGCAGCAACGCCGCGUGCGGGAUGACGGCCUUCGGGUUGUAAACCGCUUUCGCCUGUGACGAAGCGUGAGUGACGGUAAUGGGUAAAGAAGCACCGGCUAACUACGUG